UAAACGGACCAAACUUCAGCCAGGAGAACAACUGAGAUAAUCCAUCCACAAUACGCGAAGUUGACCACGCUGCAGCUGUCAGCCAGCGACCAGGACAGCGAGCCGGGCGAGCGAAACUAAACCAAACCCAACUUUUCCCACCGCUUUCAGACCCUGAUUUCACCUGGCAACCACCACAAACCAGUGGCUUUACCCCCAAAGUUGCCAGGGGUGUGCAGCGCUGUGGUCCAUUGAUCACCUCUCCGGUUUGAGCCUGUCCACAGACAUGCUUGUCAAUUGGUGAUUCUAAAGUGCCUGUUGGUGUGAUGGAAGUAUUUAAAAAAGUGUCGGCAGGGUGUGGGGACGGGAGCUGAGCCGAGGAAGCAUUCAUGCAUCAAAUACCAAGAGAGUCAGAGGAACACCGGGGAGGACGACAACAAAACUAAAACAGGGAGCUAAGAACUUCACUACUGUAUGUUUUCAAUGUUUUUGUCUCUUUUUACGGAAUCAAACUCAAAGUAAGCUUUAAACCCUGCAUGGUCGUACUCUCUCCUGCACUCCAUAUUAUCCUUUGUUGAUCUACACACGUCUG